rnacentral:rRNA from 1 species
UACGGGGGGGGCGAGCGUUGUUCGGAAUUACUGGGCGUAAAGGGCGCGUAGGCGGCCCGCUAAGUCGAACGUGAAAUCCCUAGGCUCAACCUGGGAACUGCGUCCGAUACUGGCAGGCUUGAAUCCGGGAGAGGGAUGUGGAAUUCCAGGUGUAGCGGUGAAAUGCGUAGAUAUCUGGAGGAACACCGGGUGGCGAAGGCGGCAUCCUGGACCGGUAUUGACGCUGAGGCGCGAAAGCUAGGGGAGCAAACGGGG